AAUAGAUACCCAGGUAGUCCACGCCGUAAACGAUGAAUGUUAGCCGUCGGGCAGUUUACUGUUCGGUGGCGCAGCUAACGCAUUAAACAUUCCGCCUGGGGAGUACGGUCGCAAGAUUAAAACUCAAAGGAAUUGACGGGGGCUCGCACAAGCGGUGGAGCAUGUGGUUUAAUUUGAAGCAACGCGCAGAACCUUACCAGCCCUUGACAUCCCGAUCGCGGUUCGUGGAGACACGUUCCUUCAGUUCGGCUGGAUCGGAGACAGGUGCUGCAUGGCUGUCGUCAGCUCGUGUCGUGAGAUGUUGGGUUAAGUCCCGCAACGAGCGCAACCCUCGCCCUUAGUUGCCAGCAUUCAGUUGGGCACUCUAAGGGGACUGCCGGUGAUAAGCCGAGAGGAAGUGGGGAUGACGUCAAGUCCUCAUGGCCCUUACGGGCUGGGCUACACACGUGCUACAAUGGUGUGACAGUGGGCAGCGAGACCGCGAGGUCGAGCUAAUCUCCAAAAGCCAUCUCAGUUCGG
rnacentral:rRNA from 1 species